GGCGAAUCUACUGCUCCGGUCUGGCUCCGAAGUCGCAGUUGCCCACCCAUGGGGAGCCGGGGCGUUCCGCUAGGGCCCAGGAAGAACGAGUCGAUAGCCGAGGAAACGGUUGAGGGAGCAGCCGACACCGGCUGAACUGGUUCACCUCUUCUGUGCAAUAGCUGGAGGAAAAUCACUAAACAAGAGCAGCAGGGUUAUGUGACUGGAGUACUGACAGGCAAAGUUUAGUACCAUCACCAGUUAAAAGGUACAGUCUGUUCUAAGCAAUGUUUGCAAAUGAAAUGGCUGAGGCAACCUGCAUAAUUGGACACAAAAGGCCCCAUGAAUGUAAUGAAGAAGUGGAAGAAGCCCAGAAAACUAAAAGGAAAAGGAAGGUAGAUGAAGACACUUGCCAAAACCAGCACCAAUGUAAGGAGAAGAAAUCCCGCUUGUCAGCUGAGUUGUUUGGUGAGGAUUGUGAAAUCAGCCAUGAACAGGUAUAUGAGUUCCUAAAGUACGCAGCUUUGGGAAAACGUCACAAUGCAGCUCAACCCAGCUGGUGCCGUAUUUAUCACCAAAGACACCUGGCUAAGGUUGUGGUUAUUGUUCUUCAGGAAGUCAGCCAGCUCUAUUUCUACAGGUUCUAUUUGCAGUUCAAACAUCUCAGAAGGGCAUUUCAACAUAGAUUCAGUUUACCGCCUACUUCAGCUAAUUUUAUAGCUAGUGUGUGUGGAGAAGGAAUAAGUAUGAAACAUCAGAACAGCAUACACGGUUCAGCUUCUGCCUCUAGUGGACGUAUUUCUAAGAACUCAGACCUGCAAAAAGACCCGAUCAUUGAGAAAUACGGCAAGGAAAAGCAUGGUCUGACCAGCUAUAUUCUAACCUUGGAAGAGAUGAGAAAAUACGAUUAUCCUUUAGAAGGAUCCCCUGGGUGUGAGAAUUAUGUCCACACACAAUGCGAGAGCCCGAGGACAGACAGCAGCCCCCUCUUUGGGCUGGAUUGUGAAAUGUGCCUCACUGAGAAGGGGAAUGAAGUAACUCGAGUCUCAGUGGUGGAUGCAGAGGGUCAGUGCAUCAUGGAUGAGCUUAUAAAACCUGAAACUCAGAUACUGAACUACCUCACCAGAUACUCAGGAAUCACAAGAAAGAUUCUUCUUCCAGUGAAAACAAAACUGCCAGAGAUUCAGGACAAACUAAAGAAAUUGCUUCCCCAUGAUGCGGUAUUAGUGGGUCACUCUUUAAAUGUUGACCUCCACGCUUUACAAAUGAUACACCCCAGUGUUAUUGACACCUCAUUGCUUUUUGCCAGACACAAAGGUCGACGGUUCAAGCUAAAAUUCUUAGCAAAAGCUGUUUUAGGGAAGGAAAUUCAAUGUGAAAAUAAAGUUGGUCAUGAUCCAACAGAAGAUGCUGAAGCUGCACUUGAAUUGCUUCAAUACUUUAUUGACCAGGGACCCAGAAAGGUAGUAGAACUAAAUUUGGAGACAGUGCUGUCAGCCCCAAAUCUGAUGGAGUCGUCACAGCAAAAAUCUGCGUUACAACUGCAACAGAAUGGAGUCCAGAAGCAGUCAAGUGAACCUCCAGGCAUACUCAAACCAUGUUUUUUAGACCAUUUGAAUGCUACUGGCCAAAAAACUCUCCUUUUGAGCAGAAAGGAACUAGCCUCUUCUGGCUUGUGUCAGAACAGUCUGAGCACUUUGAAUAAACAGAUACUUAAAAGAGCUAUACAAGAAGUUCCUCUGUCCUCAUUCAGUGUCAUUCAGUUCGCUUUGCGUUCAGAGCAUGUUGCACCAGACCUUGUUGCUGAAGUUUGUGAAAAGAUGAGAAUCCAGCUAGCUGACAUGCUGACUGUCUAUGUGGGUCCAUUUGAUAAAGACUUUUGCCUGAAGUCUUUAAGGAGAGAAUUUAAGAAGUGUGGUCCUAUCCAAUCACUUACUGUGCUCACUGAAACACACCAGCCCCACAUCUGUAUCCAGUAUGAAGUAUUAGAAGCUGCUCAACUUGCUAUGGAAAGUCUGAAUGGAGCUGAUGUUGCAGGGUCCUAUAUUAAGGUUCAGAGACCCGUCACUGUGAUGAUGCUAGACUGUGACAUGCUGAUAAAAGAGCUAGAAAUGGAUAUUGAAAACGAAGGUGUGAUUUAUGUGGCGGGGCUGAAGAAAACCCUAACUGAGACAGACUUGCAAGAGAAAUUCAGUCAUUUGAAAAACCUGCAAGCUCUUUUCUGGCCUAGGGAUCUCAAAAGUGGGAAGCACAGAAAUUACUGUUUCCUGAAGUUUCAAACCUCAGAAAGUGCCUUAGAGGCUCUUCAAGAUAUAAACAGGCAAGGAGCUGAAGGCAGCCGACUGCAAAGUAGGAAAGCUCUCACUCCUAGCCACCUCCACCGAUGGAUUUGUCAUAUGGACCGUAAUGAUGGGAAGCCUAGUCAGCUGGCACAUCACAUCCUACAAGUGAAAAAGGAACAACUAUCUGCCUCUGAGCAAGACCUAAGGAAAAAGCUGAAGAAGUUAGACCGCAAUAUCAAAAAGCUUUAUAGAAGUCUGGAGAAUAAUACACUUUGUGUCAUUCUGUUGCCAGGUGUGAACAGAUCACCACGGGGAGGAUUAUCUCCAUUUUACAGAUAGAGAGACCAAGUGACUUGCCUGAGGUCCCACAGGAACUCUGGGGGGAGCAAGGAGUUGAAGCCCCUGUCUCCCAAAUUCUAAGAUCGUGCUCUAACCCCUGAAUAUCCUCACUUGCCUGAGCAUCUUAUGCAGCCCAUGGAUUGCAGUUCUGCUGGUGUUUGCUGGCUCCACUGACACUUAAUACAGGUAUUUAUGGAUCAUUCUCUGGCCUUGGUCUGAUGGGAAUAAAGGAAGAAAGCAGGAGUAGUGCCUGUUAGACUGCCAGGUUUUAGAAAAGUCUUAAGGUUUUUUUUUAAUUAAUUCUAUACCCCAAGAACAAGAGGCUCUGCCAAUGUACUUUUUUUAACAUUUAAAAAUAAAAACAAUUCAAAACUGUUAGUGCAGCAACCCCUUCUUCUAUUAACACUUCUAGAUUUGGUGCUUUUGGCUGGCUAGUAGCCAGCUCAAUGCUUAGGGAGCUGUGUGUGUGUGUAGAUACUGCCAAGGCAAAACCGGUAAGCUGGGCUGGUCAAUUUUUCUAGAAGCUGGAUGGUCCCUAUCUCGAGGGGUUUUAAGUCUGUAAAGGGCUUGAAAGGAUACUCGUCAGCUGGGCUGUUUUCACUUGGCCGAUCCUCGACAGACACACUAUGCAAAAUUAACGGACAUCUGUCCCCCAAAAAAGCUUCUUUGAGGUUGCAGGAGCUCUACACCGGUGUUGUGGAGCCUGCUGGAAAUUGGGCCUCAAUUAACAUUUCAUGUAAAGUCUAUUAUAGAUGGUGUGUUAUGCUUUUCAGUGUCAAUGAAGUAGCUGUGCACUUCAUAGAAAAGCACUUUACUUUGCCCUGGGGAAGAUGGAAUUGUGAUUCACAUCUUGGGCCAAUUCCACUUUUUUUCCUCAUAAGAGGAAAAAUUACAACUCAAGCUGCAGCAAGAGCAAAGAAAAAGUACUUAACAGGUGAAAUUCACAUAGGCAUAAUGAUGAGGUUGCACGGGGUAUAAGAUAGGAAACCAGGACCCCACACCUACAUAAAGAGGUAAAGAGCAGCAGACUUCCCUAGGCAGGAGGAGCAGCCUUGUAACCUUUUGGGUUAGGCCUAGUUUUGGAGGUAGGUUUCACAGCCGAGAGCAGAGGAUGUUGGUGUCUUUAGCAGGAUACAAAUAAUUUGCCUCAUCCCCUGCCCCCAUCAGGGCUUACUUUAUGUCCUCACAGGUUAACUAGUUGCUGCUAACUGUUAGUAAAUCAGGACCCCCAAAAAACUAAACAAGCUCUCAUUUGAUAGUGAGACAGUAAUGCUCCAGUUGAGAAAGAGGAACAUUUUUUCCUGUAAGAGAAAGCAGUUCUAGAAAGAGGAGAAUUAAUCAGACUGAAUUAUCUUGCAGUCCUGAGAAGAGGCAUUCAGUUGUAAAGCAAUGAUUAAGGACAGGCCAAAAUAAUCAGUGGAGAUAUUAGAACAUCCCACUCACCAUUUUUCCACAGGAUAAAGGAAUUCAACUUACUCAUCUGGUGAGUUACACUCUGCCUUGAUCCAUCCGAGGAAGUUCCCAACAAAAACAAUGAAUGGAGCCAUUGUCUGUACUAAGAGGGAUAAAAAAAAAAGCAAGAUUCCCACUGUCCAUUAAG